UCACUUGAAACCCAGGACCUGUUG
rnacentral:miRNA from 1 species